GGUAGGACUACCCGCUGAUCUUAUUCAUA
rnacentral:rRNA from 1 species